ensembl:lncRNA
CACAAGCCAGAGCUAGGGGAAAGCUAGGGCUAGCAAAGGUCAGGCAGGAUCUGUGUGAUCGCCUGGAAGCACGUUACGCCUAAGAGGAAGAUAUAGGCGGAAUGUAGUGAACUGAUUAGGAAUACGGAUGUUACCUUAGCAGAGGUGGAUGACCCUUUUCCCACCCUGGUGGUUUUGAUUUACUAGCCGGUCCUGCUGCUCCAGACUGUGGACAGUGCUGGAUGCUGCUGGUCAUCCUGAAUCCAUCCUCUGCUCUUCUCCUCUCCCUCCUCUCAACCUCGGUCGUCUACCUCCACUGCAGAAAUAAAGUCUCUCCAGCAAUUCGCCUGUCUCCUGUUCCCGGUUUCCCGAUCCUGCCUGUCCCCGACUUCGUUCCCCGCCUCGUCCUUCUGGAUCCUCGUUCCCCUGUCUUCUGUCCCGGUUUCCCGAUCCUGCCUGUCCCCGACUUACGUUCCCCGCCUCGUCCCUCUGGAUCCUCGUUCGCCUGUCGCCUGUCCCGGUUUCCCGAUCCUGCCUGUCCCCGACUACGUUCUCCGCCCCGCCCCGUU